GCAGGCGGGGUGUGUGGUGGUGGGCGCUGCAGAGCCGGGGGACGGAGGCCCGAGGGCGCCGCCAGCAGGACGCCGCCGCUGGGAGCAGCACCCGCUGGGCGCGCCGGUCGGCUGCUUCUCAGGGUUCAGACCCAGAGGCUGUCCCUGCCGGUGCCCGGGAUGGAGCCUCCUUCAGUCUGAGGAGUCGGUCGCGCCGGGGCUCGACGUAGUUCAUGAUGGCUGCUGGCUCUCUUCUCCUCCAAGAGGACGUGCCGCAGUGAUGUGAGGUAUCCCGCGAGACUCUCUUGCUAGCAGGCCGCUCCAGGGAACCUUUGCUGGCCUUGGUGAAACAGGCGGCCAUGCUGGGAGAGACCCUGGCCCGGGAACGGGGGCGUCAUGAGGAGCUACAGGUGGCCUCCAGCAGCGAGUGGCCUCCAGCCAGUAGCCAGCAAGAAAUUGGGGCCCUCAGCCCACCAACCGCAAGGAAAUAGUUCUGCCCACAGUCGUUGUCCAUCAGCCUGGGGGUGGGCCCGUCCGGUCAAGCCAUGCUCGGGGGGACACCUUGGUUACAGCUGUGCGAGACCCUAAGCAGAGCGUGACUGGAAAGCCCUGCCAGACCCUCUGAAAUGGACCCUGAAAUCAUGACCUGAACUGAGGCAGACACUUAACCAACUGAGCCACCCAGGAGUCCCAGCAAACUUCAUUGUCUUAUUUUAAGAAAUUUCCCACAGCCACCUGAAAGAGCACCUUGAUCAGUCAGCAGGCAUCAGCAAUGAGACUAGAAAGAAAAAAGCUCUGUGGUGAUCUGAUAAUGUGCUUAAGCACUGAAGACUGAAGAGAGCACAGGCUUGUCACAAGAAUGCUUCUUCAGUGCAAGCUUCGCCAUGGAUUUGCCAGAUGACCUUCACUGUUACCCUGCACCUUCUCCAUAAGUGGAAAGGAUCGAUGAUUUCCCAAGGCCCUUCUCAGGCUAAAAAAUACAUUUUAAGAAAAGGAUUGUGGCAGCUGUUCUUCAUCGUCACUGAUAACAGGACAAAAAAAUAAAAGACAAAGAAAAAUGACAGAAAGAAAAAAAUUGACUUACAUUUCAGGAAGGUUUGGCAUAGCAAGACAAGUUAAGAACUUAAAUGAACCCUAGGUAUCAGUGAUGGCAAUGGCCUACUUUUAUAGGUGAUUGCAAAUGUGAUUCAUUGUACCUCCAAUCAAACUAAGGGGAAUCAUCUUAGAAUACUUUGACUCAAGGAAUCACAUUAGGUGUACUUAUGGUUACAGCAGUUUUCAAAUUUAUGUAACUAAGAUAUUUUCCUUCCUAGGUGUUAAGUUUUUUCUUUGUUGUUGUUUAUUUUAAAAUUAAAAUAGUUUAUCUUAAACACAGUGGUUAUUCCAAGAAAUUAUAUUAUUGGAAUAUAAUUAUAAUUAUAUAAUACUUCUAUAAUUGGAAUAUAAUUAUAAUAUAA